GGCCUCGCAGCUCAGCUGGUAGAGCGUGCACGUCCAAAGCGUAGACCGUGUCCAUGCGCGAGUUCGAAUCCCACCGAGGCUA
rnacentral:tRNA from 1 species